rnacentral:misc_RNA from 1 species
UCUUUAGAUAAAUGUCUUCUUCAUCGUGUUGGUAAUGCAUCUACUGGUCCCGUGCGUCCAUUCGUCAUUUCAAAGAAAAUGGAACAAUUAGUAUAUAGAAACUUUCAAGUUAUUAAGGAGUUUGAGGAGCAUCUUAUUGAUUUUCGCAAGCAAGAUUUGAAUAGAAGCUCAGUCAUAGAGGCACUUCUUGGUCGUUUAGAUGAUGUAUUGGAAAAGGGCAAGUUGUUGGCUGAAGAGUUUCACUUUUCUCUCAAGGCAAAAUCAGGAAAUAACUCAACCUGCACAUUUGAUAAAUCCACCUCCCCC